rnacentral:rRNA from 1 species
CGUCAGCUCGUGUCGUGAGAUGUUGGGUUAAGUCCCGCAACGAGCGCAACCCUUGUCUUUAAUUGCCAUCAUUCGGUUGGGCACUUUAAAGAGACUGCCGGUGUUAAGCCGGAGGAAGGUGGGGAUGACGUCAAGUCCUCAUGGCCUUUAUGCCCAGGGCUACACACGUGCUACAAUGGGUGGUACAAAGAGCAGCGAACUCGCGAGAGUAAGCGAAUCUCAAAAAGCCAUCCUCAGUUCGGAUUGAAGUCUGCAACUCGACUUC